rnacentral:rRNA from 1 species
CCUACGGGAGGCAGCAGUGAGGAAUAUUGGUCAAUGGGCGUAAGCCUGAACCAGCCAAGUCGCGUGCGGGAUGAAGGUUCUAUGGAUCGUAAACCUCUUUUGUAAGGGAAUAAAGGGUGGGACGUGUCCUGUUUUGCAUGUACCUUAUGAAUAAGGAUCGGCUAACUCCGUGCCAGCAGCCGCGGUAAUACGGAGGAUCCGAGCGUUCUCCGGCUUUAUUGGGUUUAACGGGUGCGUAGGCGGCCUUUUAAGUCAGCGGUGAAAGUUUCUGGCUCAACCCUAGAAUUGCCGUUGACACUGGGAGGCUGGAGUAUGUUUGAGGUAGGCGGAAGGCGUGGUGUAGCGGUGAAAUGCUUAGAGAUCACGCAGAACCCCGAUUGCGAAGGCAGCCUGCCAAGCCAUGACUGACGCUGAUGCACGAAAGCGUGGGGAUCAAACAGGAUUAGAUACCCGAGUAGUC